UACGAGGGGUGCAAGCGUUGCUCGGAAUUAUUGGGCGUAAAGGGUUGGUAGGUGGUCUUGUUUGUCUGAGGUGAAAGCCCGGGGCUUAACCCCGGAAGUGCCUUAGAAACGGCAAGACUAGAGUCCUAGAGGGGUUUGUGGAAUUCCCGGUGUAGCGGUGAAAUGCGUAGAGAUCGGGAGGAACACCAGCAGCGAAGGCGGCAAACUGGAUAGGCACUGACACUGAACAACGAAAGCGUGGGUAGCAAACAGG
rnacentral:rRNA from 1 species